UACGUAGGUGGCAAGCGUUGUUCGGAAUUAUUGGGCGUAAAGGGCGCGUAGGCGGUUUGUUAAGUCGGUUGUGAAAGCCCGGGGCUCAACCCCGGAGGGUCAGCCGAUACUGGCAGACUAGAGUACGGAAGAGGUAGCUGGAAUUCCCGGUGUAGCGGUGAAAUGCGUAGAUAUCAGGAGGAACACCGGUGGCGAAGGCGGGUCUCUGGGCCGAUACUGACGCUGAGGAGCGAAAGCGUGGGGAGCGAACAGG
rnacentral:rRNA from 1 species